UUUCACCACACGGAUUAACAUAAAAUGAUCUGUAGAGGGCACAGGGCAGUUUCUGGGAUGAGUCACCAUUUUGUUCCCAUCAAGGGGCGGGAGAGACGCCUUCCAAGGGUGACCGCAGAACUGUGUUGGAGGAGGGCUGGUCUGAGGCCUCUGCUGCUCAUUGCCCCGUGUCCUCAGGCUAGACAGUUGAUUUAUGUUCCUCUCAGGAUCCUGGAACCUGGCCUGGCCUUUGCUUCCACCCAAGCUCAAAGACUCUCCUGUUCUAAUCCCAGGAGUGACCAGAGCCCUCUAACUGGAGCGAACUUGGCCUGAACACUGUGAGAUGCUGGUUGUUUUCUUUACCAGCUGUGUCAACGCAAGGGUAACUUUAGUAUUCCCAUUUUGGAGAGACAGAUGGCAUAAAUGGGAACUGAAUUACAUCAAGAAUGGUGUGAACGUGGAAUUGAAUCCUUCCCCAGUCAAACCUCGGAUGAGACUGAAGCCCCAGUCAACACGUUCAUGGUAGCUUUGAAACCUUGAAGCAAACAACCUUGGGAAAACGUGCCCAGAAUCCUGACCCGCAGAAACUGUGAUGAUAAAUGUGUGUUUUUUAAGCCAUUAAGUUGUAAUAUUGUUUCACAGCAAUAGAGUUCCAUAUA